GCCUACAGCCAAACCACCCUGAAAGCGCCCGAUCUCGUCUGAUCUCGGAAGCUAAGCAGGGUUGGGCCUAGUUAGUACUUGGAUGGCAUUCCGGCUUGGAAUACUGGGUGCUGUAGGCA
rnacentral:rRNA from 1 species